rnacentral:rRNA from 1 species
UACGUAGGGUGCAAGCGUUGUCCGGAAUUAUUGGGCGUAAAGAGCUCGUAGGCGGUCUGUCGCGUCUGCUGUGAAAACUCAGGGCUUAACCCUGAGCUUGCAGUGGGUACGGGCAGACUAGAGUGCGGUAGGGGAGACUGGAAUUCCGUGGUGUAGCGGUGAAAUGCGCAGAUAGUCAGGAGGAACACCGGUGGCGAAGGCGGGUCUCUGGGCCGUAACUGACGCUGGAGGAGCGGAAAGCAUGGGGAGCGAACAGG